CCUACGGGAGUCAGCAGUGAGGACUAUUGGUCAAUGGACGAGAGUCUGAACCAGCCAAGUAGCGUGAAGGAUGACUGCCCUAUGGGUUGUAAACUUCUUUUAUCUGGGAAUAAAAUGUUCCACGUGUGGGAUUUUGUAUGUACCAUAUGACUAAGGAUCGGCUAACUCCGUGCCAAUAGCCGCGGUAAUACUGAGGAUCCGAGCGUUAUCCGGAUUUAUUGGGUUUAAAGGGAGAGUAGGUGGAUUGUUAAGUCAGUUGUGAAAGUUUGCGGCUCAACCGUAAAAUUGCAGUUGACACUGGCAGUCUUGAGUACAGUAGAGGUGGGCGGAAUUCGUGGUGUAGCGGUGAAAUGCUUAGAGAUCACGAAGAACUCCGAUUGCGAAGGCAGUUCACUGGACUGCAACUGACACUGAGGCUCGAAAGUGUGGGUAUCAAACAGGAUUAGAUACCCCAGUAGUC
rnacentral:rRNA from 1 species